rnacentral:rRNA from 1 species
AUUGAACGCUGGCGGCAGGCCUAACACAUGCAAGUCGAACGAGUGGCGGACGGGUGAGUAAUGUCUGGGAAACUGCCUGAUGGAGGGGGAUAACUACUGGAAACGGUAGCUAAUACCGCAUACCAUCAGAUGUGCCCAGAUGGGAUUAGCUUGUUGGUGGGGUAACGGCUCAACAAGGCGACGAUCCCUAGCUGGUCUGAGAGGAUGACAGGGACAAGUGGAACGGAGACACGGUCCAAGCUCCUACGGGGGACAGCAGUGGGGAGUAUUGCACUAUGGGCGCAAGCCUGAUGCGGCCAUGCCGGGUGUGUGAAGAAGACCGUCGGAUUGUAAAGUACUUUCAGCGGGGAGGCGUUACCCGCAGAAGAAGCACCGACUAACUCCGUGCCAGCAGCCGCUGUAAUA